UGGGGAAUAUUGGACAAUGGGCGCAAGCCUGAUCCAGCCAUGCCGCGUGAGUGACGAAGGCCUUCGGGUUGUAAAGCUCUUUUGGCGGGGACGAUAAUGACGGUACCCGCAGAAUAAGCUCCGGCUAACUUCGUGCCAGCAGCCGCGGUAAUACGAAGGGAGCUAGCGUUGUUCGGAAUCACUGGGCGUAAAGCGCACGUAGGCGGAUUUGUCAGUCAGGGGUGAAAUCCCGGGGCUCAACCUCGGAACUGCCUUUGAUACAGCAAGUCUUGAGUUCGAGAGAGGUGGGUGGAAUUCCUAGUGUAGAGGUGAAAUUCGUAGAUAUUAGGAAGAACACCGGUGGCGAAGGCGGCCCACUGGCUCGAUACUGACGCUGAGGUGCGAAAGCGUGGGGAGCAAACAGGAUUAGAUACCCCAGUAGUCCCUGAGCGGGCUGGCAAGGCGCAU
rnacentral:rRNA from 1 species